ACGCUCGACACCUACGGAGGCAGCAGUAGGGAAUCUUCCACAAUGGACGCAAGUCUGAUGGAGCAACGCCGCGUGAGUGAAGAAGGUUUUCGGAUCGUAAAGCUCUGUUGUUGGUGAAGAAGGAUAGAGGUAGUAACUGGCCUUUAUUUGACGGUAAUCAACCAGAAAGUCACGGCUAACUACGUGUCAGCAGCCGCGGUAAUCUGAGCGGGCUGGCAAGGC
rnacentral:rRNA from 1 species